rnacentral:rRNA from 1 species
UACGUAGGGUGCAAGCGUUAAUCGGAAUUACUGGACGUAAAGCGUGCGCAGGCGGUUAUGUAAGACAGGUGUGAAAUCCCCGGGCUUAACCUGGGAACUGCAUUUGUGACUGCAUAGCUAGAGUACGGUAGAGGGGGAUGGAAUUCCGCGUGUAGCAGUGAAAUGCGUAGAUAUGCGGAGGAACACCGAUGGCGAAGGCAAUCCCCUGGACCUGUACUGACGCUCAUGCACGAAAGCGUGGGGAGCAAACAGG